UACGUAGGGUGCAAGCGUUGUCCGGAAUUAUUGGGCGUAAAGAGCUCGUAGGCGGUCUGUCACGUCGGCUGUGAAAACCCGAGGCUCAACCUCGGGCCUGCAGUCGAUACGGGCGAACUAGGGUACUGCAGGGGAGACUGGAAUUCCUGGUGUAGCGGUGAAAUGCAUUGAGAUCGGAAAGAACACCAACGGCGAAGGCACUCUGCUGGGCCGACACUGACGCUGAGAGACGAAAGCUAGGGGAGCAAAUGGG
rnacentral:rRNA from 1 species